rnacentral:sRNA from 1 species
GCAUCGCCUGUCAGGACUCAUCGCUGCC